AACAAUACGGUGCUCCCAAUGGCCUGCAGCCAUUGCUCAGGGAAGGGGGCUACACAUCUGCCGAGCCGUGGCACCGAAGCAGAGCUGAAUGCGCCACCGCGACGUCUUUGACGAUGGUAGCGGCGUCACCAUCCGUCUUGUCGCUUCUUGGUGAAGGAAACCACAUCGUCGGAGCCUCCGCUGCCUCUCCAGGCGCAUGCAUGGCCGCAGCAUCAGCUACUUUGUUGAGCGAGGAAGAGAAAGCAUGACCAUGUGGUGCUGGCAUGUUGGCUCUGUUUCCGCUGAUGUGCUGCUUCUCCCCGCUGGACAAAAAUCAAAGAGAUCACUGACGUUCUGAAACAGAUGCACAGCGAGAUGAUCAAGCAAUCGGUGGCAAAAAGGAAUCGAUCUGAAGAAUCAUAUGCAGCUGAUGUGUUGGGCUAGCAAUCAGAGCACUUGAAGAAUGGUCAUAGUAACAGCCAAUCAGAAGCAAAAGAAGAGAAGCCUUACCGUGGAUAUCAAGAGAGGAGGAAACAACCAAUGGGCACCGGGAGACAGGAG